AACGAACGCUGGCGGCGCGCCUAAUACAUGCAAGUCGAGCGAGAAGGUGUAGCAAUACACUUGUAAAGCGGCGAACGGGUGAGGAAUGCAUGGGUAACCUACCCUCGAGUGGGGAAUAACUAGCUGAAAGGUUAGCUAAUACCGCAUACGUUUCCGGAACUUCGGUUUCGGAAAGAAAGCAAUACCGUGGGUAUUGCGCUCCUGGAUGGGCUCAUGUCCUAUCAGCUUGUUGGUGAGGUAACGGCUCACCAAGGCUUCGACGGGUAGCUGGUCUGAGAGGACGAUCAGCCACACUGGCACUGCGACACGGGCCAGACUCCUACGGGAGGCAGCAGUAAGGAAUAUUGCGCAAUGGACGCAAGUCUGAACCAGCCAUGCCGCGUGAAGGAUUAAGGUCCUCUGGAUUGUAAACUUCUUUUAUCUGGGACGAAAAAGGACGAUUCUUCGUUCACUUGUACGGUACCAGAUGAAUAAGCACCGGCCGUAACUUACGUUGCCAGCAGCCGCCGCG
rnacentral:rRNA from 1 species